rnacentral:rRNA from 1 species
CUUGCUUUCUUUGCUGGCGACCGGCGCACGGGUGAGUAACACGUAUCCAACCUGCCCUUUACUCGGGGAUAGCCUUUCGAAAGAAAGAUUAAUACCCGAUAGCAUAAUGAUUCCGCAUGGUUUCAUUAUUAAAGGAUUCCGGUAAAGGAUGGGGAUGCGUUCCAUUAGGUUGUUGGUGGGGUAACGGCCCACCAAGCCUUCGAUGGAUAGGGGUUCUGAGGGGAAGGUCCCCCACAUUGGAACUGAGACACGGUCCAA